GGUCCCGUGCAGACAUGUUAGGGGAUUGCAAUUCUACUCUCUUUGCGGACUUUGAAACUGUUCUUAAGGAUGACACAGAAAUGAUGGAGGUUGAUGAUCAAUCCAUCCUAACUGAAGCCUGAAACAUGAUUGUAUGAUGUUGCUGCUGCUGCUUGGUUGCGAC